rnacentral:rRNA from 1 species
AACGAACGCUGGCGGCAUGCCUAACACAUGCAAGUCGAACGAGAACUUCGGGUCUUGUGGCGCACGGGUGCGUAACGCGUGGGAACCUGCCCAUAGGUUCGGAAUAACUCCCCGAAUGGGGUGCUAAUACCGGAUAAUGUCUUCGGACCAAAGAUUUAUUGCCUUUGGAUGGGCCUGAGUUGUAUUCGCUAGUGGGUAGGGUAAAAGCCUACAAAGGCGGCCAUCCAAAGCUGGUAGGGGAGGAUGGUCAGCCACACUGCGAGGGGGACACGGCCCGGAUUCCACGGGAAGGCAGAAGGGGGGAAUGUGGGACACGGGGCGAAAGCUGAAUGCAGCAAGACCGCGAGAGUGAGGAAGGCGUGAGGAUUGUAAGGCUCUUUACCCGGGAUGAUAAUGACAGUACCGGGAGAAUAAGCUCCGGCUAACUCCGUG